rnacentral:rRNA from 1 species
AUGAAGAGAAAGAGAGAAUCAAUUCAGAACUUUUUCAAACCCGUUGGUUCAAGCUCUCGGCCAUCAGAACAUGAUGCUACUGCAGACAACGACAACGUUCAACCUAGCGAACAGAAUCACCCAAAUUGUACUGAUGGUGAUGCCCAAAUUGAUCAUGAUGUUUCCGUGCCAGAAGCUACGGAAGAAGAUACAAUUAUAACCACAAGUUAUGACCGAGAGCCCGGGCGACGUCUUCAAAUUUGGCAACUUCCUCCCGAUGAGCAUGAUGCUGCUAGGCGUUUUUAUAUAUCUAAAGGGGCUUAUCAACCAAUCUUAAAGCCAGAUGAGUAUGAAUUUACUGGGACAGGGGCUGGCCGUAGGCGAUUCCAAAGUGAUUGGUUCACGAAUCAUUGGUGGUUGGAGUAUUCACCUUUAAAAAAUUGUGCCUAUUGUUUGCCUUGUUUUCUCUUCUCAAAGAAGCCAAUUGGGAAGUGUGGUUCAAAUACAUUCACAGUGAGCGGAUUUGAUAAGUGGAAGAAAGUUAACAAUGGAAAAGAAUGUGCUUUCCUCAAGCAUAUGGGCACUACUCCCAGCUCGGCUCACAAUUUUGCAGUUCGGUGUUAUGAAAACUUGAGAAACAGACUUAAUCAUGUUGAUGAGGUGAUGAAAAAGCAAACUAAGAAGCGGGUUCUUGAUGCAAGACUAAGGCUAAAGACUUCCAUUGAUGCCAUGAGGUAA